UUGGCAGGACGAUCUGUCGCGGGGUUUCGGCCCUGAGGAAAGUCCGCACAGGAAAGGGCACCCGGCUGUGGAAAGCACAGUAGGGAGUAAUCUUUAAGCAGCGUAACAGAAAAUUACCGCCGGUGUUUUUGUUUUUUUUUCUCCGGUAAGGGUGAAAACGCGGGGUAAGAGCCCACGACGUUGCAAGGCGACUUGCAGCGGGUACGUUGCCCGGGCCUGCAAGACCAAAUAUACCGGCAGUUGAGGGCGGCCCGCCUGAUGCCGGGGGGUAGGUUGCGAAGAUAAAUGACAGAUUCAAAAACAGAAAGCGGCUUACGGCCCUGCCAACUUU
rnacentral:RNase_P_RNA from 1 species